rnacentral:lncRNA from 1 species
GCCAAUUUUGGUACCUACCAAGUUAACGAAACGACCAAGGGCGCACCAAGACGUAGGCGGCUGCUUUAUGACCCAGAUGACACGCAAGUCAUUACCUACAAUUUAUGUUCUUCAUACACUCUUGUC